AUACGUAGGGGGCGAGCGUUGUCCGGAAUGAUUGGGCGUAAAGGGCGCGUAGGCGGCUUUGCAAGUCAGUAGUGGAAGUCCAUUUUUCAAGGAUGGAAGUGCUACAGAAACUGCGGAGCUUGAGUGCAGGAGAGGUUAUCGGAAUUCCCGGUGUAGCGGUGAAAUGCGUAGAGAUCGGGAGGGACACCAGUGGCGAAGGCGGGUAACUGGACUUCAACUGACGCUGAGGCGCGAAAGUGUGGGGAGCAAACAGGAUUAGAUACCCUGGUAGUCCACACUGUAAACGAUGAAUGCUAGGUGUAGGAGGUAUCGACCCCUUCUGUGCCGCAGUAAACACAGUAAGCAUUCCGCCUGGGGAGUACGGUCGCAAGAUUAAAACUCAAAGGAAUUGACGGGG
rnacentral:rRNA from 1 species